rnacentral:misc_RNA from 1 species
CCGGGACAAUGGGUGGGGCUUGCGGGUAUGGAGACCUGUACAGCCAAGGGUACGGGACUAACACUGCAGCCCUGAGCACAGCCUUGUUCAACAACGGGCUGAGCUGCGGAGCUUGCUUCCAGCUCGUGUGUGUGAAUGACCGGCAGUGGUGUCUGCGGAACUCCAUUGUAGUGACCGCAACUAAUUUCUGCCCGCCAGGGGGCUGGUGCGACCCUCCCAAUCACCACUUCGACCUCGCCCAGCCUGUUUUCCAGCAGAUUGCUCAGUACAGAGCUGGGAUUGUGCCUGUUGCUUACAGAAGG